UACGAAGGGGGCUAGCGUUGUUCGGAAUCACUGGGCGUAAAGCGCACGUAGGCGGAUUUGUUAGUCAGGGGUGAAAUCCCGGGGCUCAACCUCGGAACUGCCUUUGAUACUGCAAAUCUCGAGUCCGGAAGAGGUGAGUGAAAUUCCUAGUGUAGAGGUGAAAUUCGUAGAUAUUAGGAAUAACACCAGUGGCGAAGGCGGCUCACUGGUCCGGUACUGACGCUGAGGUGCGAAAGCGUGGGGAGCAAACAGG
rnacentral:rRNA from 1 species